AGUCAGCACAGGAGCACAGGUGAAGGCAAUUCAGCUGUGCUGCUGGAAGCCGUGGAGCCUGGCUGCACCUCUCCUCGACCCAGCUAAGAGCUGACCACCAACAGGAAGGAUCUCUUCUGGAGAUCCCUCCUCUGGAGUUUCCCGCGCGAGCCCAGGGUAUGGGUGAGUGUAUCUAUCAUUUCUGUUCCCUGCUUUUGUGUAACAACUACGUAGCCGAGCUCUCUGCUGUAUCAUAACAUCUGUAUAUUCAUUAAUUGUAUAGUAGGCAUAUAUGCACAUACAUAUGUAGGUAUACGUAUAUCUGUGUAUUCACAGGCCUACAGGGCAAGUUGUAGAGAAACACACGAUAUUCCUGCAAGUAUGAACAACAUUAAUGGCAUGGUCUUGUUCACUACCUUCACUAUGGCUUGUGGCUGUAGUGGAUUCUUUAUGUGUUAUUUUGCAGUAUUACUGGGAAUGAUUUUCUCUAUGCCAACAAAGAGGCUAGACUCAAUGAAAUGAUACAACUUUGUGCAGGAAUCCCCAAAAACAUCUCUUGCUGGGAAAACUCGAGAUAGUGUUUGCAGUGUGAAGAAAGGGCAUAAACUCUGUGGACAAACCAUAGGCUGAUACACACUGAUUGAUAGGAAUGACUUACAAGUCUGUAUGGGACACAAAAGAGAAGAACACUAAAAAAAAAGUGAGAAAGGAUUUAGCUUGAGGAGGGAAACAAGUUGUGUAGGAUCUUUCAGGUGUAUUUUAGUCCUAGAGCAGGGGAUACAGUAUAGCAGAAAAUUGAGACAAGAGGUGGGUACUAUUAGAAUGACGGGUGAGAACAUAGCCUAAUUUGUUUGUGCUGAGGGGAAUUAGGAAAAAUGCAGUACAGUGAGAAAAGAGGAAGCUGCGUAAGUGGAGGAGGGAGACAAUCGUGUUUGGAUCUGUUGUUUCCUAGGUGACAAGAUCAGAGAAGGGAUUUAGAGCUGAUUCAUGUGAUAUAUAUAUAUAUAAAUAUAAUAUAAUAAUAUAAAUAUAUAUAUAUAUAUAAAUUAAUAGCAAUGCACCCCAAAUUAUUGGGAUUAGAAGUGAGAGGACCAAAAGAAAACAGGAAGAGAUCAAGGCUGCAGUUUUACUGACUGGAAUUAGUCUUGCUUUCCUUUGUUUUCAGUGUUCUUAUAAACCUGAUAAACACUGUAAAAUCUGUAGGUGACCAGUUCUCUAGGGUGGCAGUGUCUCUAACAAAUGCUCAUUUGUAGCAGUCAAUUCUGUUUGCCUCAUAUAUAGACACUAAAAUGGCUGUGGUAAAAAUAUUUGAAAUACUAGAGAAUGUAUUGAAAUCAGUGAACCUCAAACAUUUAUGGAGACUUUUAUUAAGACUUUAUUAAGACUUUAUUUAGCAAAAAUGCUCUAGACUGCAGUAUAUACUCCAGAGUCAAUGUUCUUAAACAUAUACGCAAGUUUUAUAAUUUCAAAUUAAAAUAGUUAUUCUGAACAGAAAUCAGUAUAAACGACACUUCCAGAUCUAAAUACCAUUUGCCUUUGAGGCAGUUCUGAUAUGAAAUAACAUAAUUUAUGUUUUGAGCCCAUAUCUAGAUGGCGUAAUUUGAGGGUUUAUAUUUUGUGUGUCUUGUAAUCUCGAAAGGUAGUGGUUUCAGAACCCAUGAAGGAAACUUUUGAUAAAUCUUUUGUAUAUUUUCAGAUAUCUUGCUAAAAACCUUGUCUUUUUCAGCCCAACCAUUUACUCUAUAUGCUGUUAAUUAAAUGGUUUGCCUUGAAGUAUCACUCAUUAAUCUGGGUGACUAUAUUUGGCAUUUAGAUUUCAGAAGAAUAAGCGUACCUUAUUUGAAUAUUUCAAACAAUUGAUUUUGAGCCCCCUAAAUGCCUCAUAGGGAAGAUGGCUUUUCUUACUGGAAUUGCAGUCUAAGCCCACACAGGUGUACUAGAUAUGGGCUGUAAUGAUGAGACUACAUUUCCUGACACAGAAUGUGGACCUACUGCCCAAACUAGAGAAUUACUCCUUUACUUCAAUCUGACUUAAAAGGAAACUUUUAUUAUCAAUCAAAAAGAAACAAAUUCUGUAGGGGGAAUGGGUACCCAACUUUUGGUCUGCUUAAUAGCCACUCAGACCUUUUGUGAGCACCAGAAUGCAAGAAGCUGCAACUAGACAAAACUGUUAGUCAGAUGAAGGUCCUUUUUUAAAUCCUGAUUGAUUGCUUUGAAGAGCAGCAUAGGCAAAUUCCUUUCUAGCCUUUUUUCUUGAUUUUAUAUUCAAAAUUCAGCAAUUCUUAUGGAACUGAUUGAUCAUGGUGUCAAAUGCCUCUGCUCAAGGAAGCCUAGGUUUUGUUUAAACGUCUAGGGUUUUUUGUUUUGGGGGGUUUUCUUUUGCAAAACAAAUAAUCCAUCAAUGACUUUUUUUUUUUCCCCAAAAGAAUUAGAGUACUUCCAUUUCAAAGUGUCAGCUACUCCUGAUCUUUCCUCUUGUCAACUAUCCAAUGAAUUUCAGAUUUACGUUGAAGGUACUCAGUUCCUUUGGGAACAACUUAUAAGUACUAUUGAAUCCUUAGUAUUUCUUUACAGUAGGGACUAUUAGCUUCGCAGCAUUUCUGAGACAACCGUAUAGUGGAAACCUAUAUAACAAAGAAAUAUAGAUUCAGAAGGAUCAACACAGUAUCACCAUUAUACAUUUUGAAUGCAACUGCUACUUCUGCCACCUGGAGGAGCAGUGCUUUCAAAUGAAGUACAAAAAGUUACCCAAAAGAUAAACUUCUUUCCCCGCGUGUACAUGGAACUUCUUACAGAUCUUUAUGUUAUUUUAAAACUAACUCCUGAUUUUUCAAUAACUAAUUACUAAUCUUCUCAGGUUUUAAUGUAUGCAAUUUUUCUAUUAGAACUUAGUUAUAAUUUUGAAACUUUUUUGAAGUUUCCAGAUAGUUAACAUUUACAAGAUGUUUUAUGCAGACAGUAACAGAAAAUGUAAAGAAUUAUCUUCUCACCUUAACUGCUUCUAGUCAGUAUUACACAUAUGGUAGUAAAGAGAUAGGACUGAAGUACAGUCUUACAGAUUCUCUGAUGUUUAUUUUAUCAGCUUCAAUCACUAAUUAAAACCAUAAAAUCUUAUAAAUAAAUCCUGCAUGUCAAUUAGCUUAAGCAAUUGUGGCUAAAUAUUUAAUAAUUAUUAAGUAGUUUCUAUACAGCUGCAGUGAUGAUUAAUGAAAUGGUGCACGUUUCUAAUUACAUCCACACUGUCUUUGGUAACAAUGUCCAAGUGUGCACUUGAACUCCUACUCCUAUCGGUGUGCACUAUGCAGCCACACCAUAGAGGCCUUAGGGCCUGCAGCACAUAUAACUGCAUUCACAGCACACUUGUACCAUCAUGCACUCGGGUGUGAAAGUUGCCACAGCCCUUUUGUGCUGCUACAGACCUUACUUGCAUGCACACCAUUCCCAGCCUCCUUCCUCCUGCCCAUCUGCUGGUAAUCUCCCACAUGCCAGUAAUGCCUUUGCCCAUUAGUCACAGGAGGUCUCAGACUGACUUUUGCUCUGAAGUUACUCAUGCUGUCUUUGAAGAGCCUGAUCGUAGAUUGGCACCUAGAGCUGGUAUGUUUGACUUCAUCAUUGCUGUCCCUUUGCAGCGGAGUCCUCUAAGGAGGUAUGAAGACCUUUUGUUUGUUUUGACCAUACAGCUCUCCAGCUGGAAUUAUUGUUCCUCUGUUAUGUAUUGGAGAAGACAUUUAGCAAUUGACCCUUGCUGACACUUGUCAUGCCUUUGAGGAAGUUAUGGACGUCUGCCAUAUCCUGUCCCUGGCAGGAGCAAUAAAAGAGCCAAUGUGUACAGAAAAUCAGGGAACCAGGCAGGGAAUGUGUAUGGACAGGAGAACUUCAGUGUUACUGUUGAGGCGUGCCAAAACAACUUGUGUUGUUAUUUCUAGGUCACAAUAAAAGCAAAACUCUGUUUUUGCAUUUUGCCUAAUUACAUUCACUUUUGGCUAGAGAAGAGAUCAGUGUGAAGACACUGCAUUUCCUGCCCUAAAUACCAGCCUCUGUUACUGCAGAGCUCAUCCACAGAUUACAGAGUUGGGUGCCAGGUUCUCACCUCUGCUUGGUAGCUUUGUAUGCAAAAUGGAAAGUGCUAGGGCAGACUUGGAUGAUGACUAAAGUAGCCUUUCUCAUAGCAGGAUGUGUUCUUGAUCUGCCUGCUAUUUACAUUACCUAGCUGCAGCUUCUAUCAUCAUUUGUGCUCUGUGCAAGUCUGGAAUUAUUUGCAUUUUAAGGCCAUCAUUGUCACGAAUGUUGAAGUGACUCAUCAUUUUUUAAACAUUUCAGUUGCUGUCAGUAUAAUGGCUGUUUCUGAAAUGCUUCCUUCAAAAAGCUCAACUCAAUUUCCUCUUUUUUAUUUUCCCCCUAAACUUUUUUUCAGGUUUCUGACAUUUUAUUACUAAUGUGCAGAAGUACUGUAAGUUCCACCAGCUUUUAUCCAGGAAACUGAGCAUAAAUUUACACAGGUCUAGCCCUGUCAUCCCAGAGAACUACUGUAAUUAAAGUAUCAAGCUAUUGAGACUCUGUAUGCGUGUUUACACACAAGUGUCUAUGUGCCUCUGUCCAUGUACCAGUCUUGCUCUUGCUCUGACCAUGUCCCUUCUUCUCCCCUUUCCUCCUUGAGCUCCAAAUUCACUUAUGUAUUUCUUCUCCACAUAAACUGGAAAGAGUUUCAACAGUUCCCACGCCAUUCCAGCAUGGGAAUGAGGAAGUCAUUUUAAUAAAAAGUUAUUUUUAUUGGAAAAAAAAAAAAAAAAGUAUAGCAUUAGUUACUAAUUUUUGGGUGAUGAAGUCGAGACAAUAAGAAAAUUGAGUUUUUUUUUCUGGUGGAUUUUCAGAGCUCCUUGAGAACAAGCUUAAUGACAUAGAUCAUUAGCAGUGGGGUUGGACUAGAUGAUCUUCAGAGGGUCCCUUUUCAACCUCUAUGAUUCUGUAAUUUUAUGAUUCUGUGAUCUCAUAUUUCUGCCACUCUAUCCAUCAUUUUCUCAAAAGACCACCAAUUGUCAAGUCUAAAGAGUUGUAGUCCAACCAACCACUGUAGUUUGAGUUACAGAUAAAGUAUUGGAAAUCUUGUACAAAAAAAAAAAAAAAGAGAGGUGUAUGUGGGAGCGAAAGUUAGCAAUAGGUCUGCCACAGAAAAAGGAAAAAAUAUAUAUGCCAUAAGAUCUUACUAAUGAGGGUUAGAAAUACAGCCAAAAGACACAAUAAUAAACAUAAAAACUGAACAAUGCACUGCAUAGAAACAGCUAACAUAAUUCAGAUGUCUCCAUUCCCCCUUCAGAAAAAGAGGACUUUUCACUAUCAGAUAAACAAAUGACCCAAACACAUUCUCUGCAUCCAACAGCUUCAGCAGUGCUUUGAAAUUCCUCAGUCUUUGAUGAACAGGCCUACAUAUUUAGAUAAGUGUAGCGUUUUUCCAGAGGGGCAUGAAAGAAUUCAAAACAAAUGCAGCCUUUGCGUGACUAUGCAGUUGCACAGAAUUCUCAAAAGGAAACUGCUUGCAGGAUCAGGGCCUUUCCAGCAAUGUGAAAUUUAAGAUGUUAGUAGGGGUUGAAAGAGAAGAGAUGACAUUUCUGUUGAGGGGAUUCAUACGCACACGAUGCAGGAGAAGGAGUUACAGAAUUUUAACUGCUGACAUACCCAGGCUCAGAUCUGUGGUUUGGGCACAAAAACAGGGCUAUUGCUUCUAGGGGUUUGGUGGAGGGAUGUGAAAACUGAACAGUAGCAUCUGAGACAUGAUUCAUAGGGCAUGGUGCAAAACGGUGCGCAGCGCAGGAGUCUGAGAUGUUGCAGUGAGCUAGCCCUGCAUCUGCAAAGUAACAAAGUUACUUAUAUGGUCGUUUCUCCAAUUUCUUGAGAUCUUUUAACAGUGAAGACAACAGAAUUAAGGAGUGUGGCAUUAAAGCUAUUUUUACUGAUGUUAUUUUCUUACACAGCUUGCAAGCUUACAAUAUACCUGAACAGUACUAGAUCUUAUGCACAGAGCAUGAUGUAAGUUUGUUUUGGGUUGCUUCUUCACUGUGCAGCCUAGCUUCUUUCAGAGCUGUCUUUGCAUGUCUGCCUGUAGACGUGAGCUCAUAUUUGACUAUCUGAAUGGUCCUAUUUAGAAGGUGUACAUCACAGCACAUCCAAGACAUCCCUAGCUUACCACAGCUCAUCCAUCAGCUCUUGAGUCAGUCUACUGCUCUGAGUUUUAAGGCAAAGUGUCACUGUUUCCCUUAAAAAUAUGGUGGUGACUGAAUUUAGUUAGGGCAGCCUGUCUGUUUCUGACCCCUGGGUCCUCAACAGUAUUUGUAACUCUUUCAGGCUCUCUGUGCUACAGUUUUUAUUCAAAGAGAUUUUGCAUUGAAUUUCUAAUUGUUAUAACAAAUCCUGAAUAGCAGCAGUCCUACUUUUGGUUUCUAUGUAGUCAUCUACAAUCAUCACCUCUGACUGAUGAUUCCGUUGGAGCUGCACCUAUCUCCACACAUUAAUCUCAUGCAUUGUGAGUCUUCUUGACAGAUUACAUGGCCAAGCUUCCAGAAAAGUAUCUGAGAACAAUCCAAAUGUAUUAUACCUGCACCUCCAUCUUCAUCAACUUUGUAAUUUAACAAGAAAUAAAAUACACUUGACAAAUUCUUUUUCUAUAAAGUCACAUCAGCUGCUACUGCUGUACUCCCGUCUCAUAACUUGUUAUGUCCUGUAUCAGCAUUUGUUGUUGGUUUUAUUCAUGACAGAUAAAUUAGUUUGUUGUUAUCUGUGUCUUCAGCUGUCCAAAUUGAAUACUUAAGGUCAGUUUUCAGGACUUACAGAAUUCCUGCAGUAAUUAGAGCUUUAUUAGAAAUGUAUAUGAUUUCAUACUUCGUGGAAGACCAUAUGCAGUCUCCUUUAAUACUCUCAAAUUAAAGUUCUUUAUGACUCACCUA